rnacentral:misc_RNA from 1 species
GUCCAGUACCCAAAGAAAAUUAUCAUUCCAAAAUGUUAAUACUCCAACUUCUUAUUCUCCACAAAAAUCUUACAAGAAAACAGUUUUAUCCAAAUCUUCCCGUCCUAUAAACGUUGGAAAACUGCACAUAACAACAUCAUAAAAGAAUUUUCCUUAAAAAUUUAAAAUUAAAUCCUUUAAAAUUAUAGUCCAAUUACAAAUUAUACUCCCUCCACACAAGAACCAACAAAAAUAUCAGAUAUUAGAUAUAUGGAUACUAUACAACGGCUGAACAUUCUAUACGUUUCAUACUAUCAAGUCAGAUUAAGAUUCUUAUUAUCUUGAUGUAGUAAUUUCUAAUUAAAUAUAAUUUUUAAAAAAAUAAUUAAAAAUUGUCAGUGCAGGAUUUCUUUAGGCAACCCAUCGUUAAAAUAUUAUCUAAUAUAUUAAAUCUAGUACGUUUCAUUAUAUUAUGAUAUUAUCAGCUCGGUGAAGAUCGAUUUACUUAAGUUCGGAUCUUCUAUUAUUACAAGAUUUUUAACGUGCAAUAUUUUGUUUUUUUCUUGAAACCUUAAUUAAAAAAAAGUAAUUUUUGAAAAGUAAAAUCAUUUCAGAUUACGUAUUAGUUACUGUUAUGGAAAUAUAUUCGGUAAAUAUUUUGGUUUUCUUAAUAAAUGAGAAAUGGCCGUUUUUUUACUUACACAUAUUCAAAUUUGUUCAUGCGUGUGUAAGUUUCAAAAUAACCGGUUAACGUUUUCUUAUAAACCACGACGUUUACCGUUGAUGCGAAUUCAACCCCAACAAGUAAAGUUCGCGACAUGAUAUUUUUUUUACUGUGUAACAUUUCUUCAUAAGUGUUUAUCUGUAUAUACUUU